rnacentral:lncRNA from 1 species
UUCUGUUUUAUUUGGUGUAUUGGGACAAGGAAUAUUGUAUUUGAAAGAAUUUGAUUUGGUGUGGUGGGAGGACGAAUAUUUUAUUUUUGUUAUUGUUGUACGGUUAGUUUGGUAUUUUUAUAAAAUAAUCUUUUAAAAAAAUUUAUUUGGCCAAAUAAUUUUGUGAAAAAAUUGUUUGGCUAAAUAAUUCUAUUUUGUUCAAUUCAACACCAAAGAUGGUGAAUUAUUUGUCAUCUUCAAUAAGGGCUCAUUUAUUUCAUCAAAAGUGGCGUUUGAAUUGAAGUAGACUUUAGGUUAAAGUAGAGUUCAGGAAAAGUGUUUCUUCCCCAUUAUCGGUUUUCAUAACUACAAAAGUGACGUUUGUCUACUUGUGCUUUAUGUUUGGUAUGAAAUGGAUGACAUUAAAGCUAUAAUAUAUACAUGAAUAAUAAAGAAAUUGAUAAAUAAUAAAUUGUAAUAUAAUAAAUAAAAGGUAAAAUAAUUGUUUUCUGAUAUAAUUAAACAAUAUAAUCUAAACGAACUAAAUUUAUUUUUUUUUAUACGUAAAUUAUAAUAAUACAACAUGCAAUAAAAUCAUGAUGCAAAAAAU